rnacentral:rRNA from 1 species
GACGAACGCUGGCGGCGUGCUUAACACAUGCAAGCCGAACGGAAAGGCCCUGCUUUUGUGGGGUGCUCGAGUGGCGAACGGGUGAGUAACACGUGAGUAACCUGCCCUUGACUUUGGGAUAACUUCAGGAAACUGGGGCUAAUACCGGAUAGGAGCUCCUGCUGCAUGGUGGGGGUUGGAAAGUUUCGGCGGUUGGGGAUGGACUCGCGGCUUAUCGGCUUGUUGGUGGGGUAGUGGCUUACCAAGGCUUUGACGGGUAGCCGGCCUGAGAGGGUGACCGGCCACAUUGGGACUGAGAUACGGCCCAGACUCCUACGGGAGGCAGCAGCGGGGAAUAUUGCACAAUGGGCGGAAGCCUGAUGCAGCAACGCCGCGUGCGGGAUGACGGCCUUCGGGUUGUAAACCGCUUUCGCCUGUGACGAAGCGUGAGUGACGGUAAUGGGUAAAGAAGCACCGGCUAACUACGUG